CCUACGGGAGGCAGCAGUGAGGAAUAUUGGUCAAUGGCCGAGAGUCUGAACCAGCCACGCCGCGUGAAUGAUGAAUGCCCUAUGGGUUGUAAACUUCUUUUUUAUAGGAGUAAAAUCUUCCACGUGACGGUUCACGUUUCUACGUUAUGAAUCCAGAUCGGCUAACUCCGUGCCAUCCGCCCCGGUACUACGGUGGAUCCGGGCGUUAUCCGGAUUUAUUGGGUUUAAAGGGAGCGUAGGUGGAUUGUUAAGUCAGUUGUGAAAGGUUGCGGUUCAACCGAAGCAUUGCAGUGGAAACUGGCAGUCUUGAGUGCAGUAGAGGUGGGUGGAAUGCGUGGUGUAGCGGUGAAAUGCGUAGAUAUCGCGAAGAACUCCGAUGGCGAAGGCAGCUCACUGGACUGCAACUGACGCUGAGGCUCGAAAGUGUGGGUAUCAAACAGGAUUAGAUACCCUGGUAGUC
rnacentral:rRNA from 1 species